UUAUAGCCUAAAUAAAGGCCGGAUAAUACAAACUAUAGUUUAAAAUUCAAAGAUUUUGGCGGUGUCUUAUCCUAUCAGGGGAACCUGUUCCUUAAUUCGAUAAUCCACGUUUUCCUUUCCUUUCUUUGCUACUAACAGUCUGUGUACUGCCGUUGUCUGUAUACCUUUAAAAGAUAGUAUACAAUAAUAAUAAUUAUUAUUAACAUCAGGUCAAAGUGCAGCUAACAUAAAGGAGGAAAUGGGUUACACCCUAUAUUAUAGCAACCAAUACUAYAAUAAUCAUUAGUAAAAAGCUGGACUUGAUAGUAAUUUAUUUAUAUAAAUAAAUGAAUUGGAAUCUAAGACAUGCACACAUCGCCCGUCACUCUCGUCUAAAGAUG
rnacentral:rRNA from 1 species